CCUACGGGACGCAGCAGUGGGGAAUAUUGGACAAUGGGGGGAACCCUGAUGCAGCGACGCCGCGUGGGUGAAGGAGCGUUUCGGCGCGUAAAGCCCUGUCAGCAGGGAAGAAAAUGACGGUACCUGAAGAAGAAGCCCCGGCUAACUACGUGCCAGCAGCCGCGGUAAUACGUAGGGGGCAAGCGUUAUCCGGAUUUACUGGGUGUAAAGGGGGCGCAGACGGCGAUGCAAGCCAGGAGUGAAAGCCCGGGGCCCAACCCCGGGACUGCUCUUGGAACUGCGUGGCUAGAGUGCAGGAGGGGCAG
rnacentral:rRNA from 1 species